rnacentral:rRNA from 1 species
AACGAACGCUGGCGGCAUGCCUAACACAUGCAAGUCGAACGAGACCUUCGGGUCUAGUGGCGCACGGGUGCGUAACGCGUGGGAACCUGCCCUUAGGUUCGGAAUAACUCCCCGAAAGGGGUGCUAAUACCGGAUAAUGUCUUCGGACCAAAGAUUUAUCGCCCUUGGAUGGGCCCGCGUUGGAUUAGCUGGUUGGUAGGGUAAAAGCCUACCAAGGCGACGAUCCAUAGCUGGUCUGAGAGGAUGAUCAGCCACACUGGGACUGAGACACGGCCCAGACUCCUACGGGAGGCAGCAGUGGGGAAUAUUGGACAAUGGGCGAAGGCCUGAUCCAGCAAUGCCGCGUGAGUGAUGAAGGCCUUAGGGUUGUAAAGCUCUUUUACCCGGGAUGAUAAUGACAGUACCGAGAGAAUAAGCUCCGGCUAACUCCGUG